AUUAGGGCAGCGAGCUGGCAGAGUUGGUAGCACACCAGACGAAAUGCUUUGCAGCAUUUCGUCCAUCUUUACGUUGAGGGUUUCAAAUUCCGCCGAGGUUGAGUUUGCCCUUUCAUCCUUUCGGGGGGGGGGUCAACAAAAUAAGUACAGAUGAGGUUGAUGUAAUUGACUGGCCCCUCCCCUCAAUUUAUUGACCUUGUGCCUAUGAUAGAAAAAGAGUAUUAUUAUCAUUCGACUAAAACAAUUCUUCGACGUGGUGCCCCAGCAUGGCCGGAGUCCAAUGACUGAAACAAGUAAAAGAUAAAAGAUUAUUGGCAAACUGGCUGACCGUUAGCUGACCGGCCGGACAAAAUGCUUCGUGGCAUUUCUUCCGGCUUAGAAAUCUGAUUCUUGCCAGGGUCGGACUUUACCUUUCAUUCAUAACAGAGUUGAUUGAAUAAAGGAACCGGUCAAGUGUGUGGGGGUGGGGUGGAGGUGGUCGUGUUGGAGUGUUGAUGAUGAAGAUGGUGGUGGUAAUGAUGAUGAUGAGGGAGAUGAUGACGAUGAUAAUGAUGAUGAGGUGGUGAUGGUGAUGACGGUGGAGAAGUUGAUGAAGACGAUAGUCAUGACGAAGAUGAUGUGGUGGUGAUGGUGACAAAUGAUGAUGAUGAUGGUGGUGGUGGUGGUGAUGACGGUGGAGAAGUUGAUGAAGAUGAUUGUGACGAUGAUGACAAUGAUGAUGUGGUGAUGAGAUGGUGAGGGUGAUGACGGUGGAGAAGUUGAUGAAGACGAUGGUGAUGACGAUGUUGAUUACGACAAUGAUGAUGAUGAUGUGGUGAUGAUGGUGGUGGUGAUGGUGGAGAUGAUGCUGACAAUGAUGAUGAUGAUGGUGGUGGUGGUGGUGAUGAAGACGAUGAUUAUGACAAUGAUGAUGAUGACGAUGAUAAGAACUUAACUAUAAUGUUAUGACAUUUAGAGCAAAAGCACAAAAGAAAAAUCAAAGAAUCAGAUUCUUUUUUUUUGUUUUUCGGAUGGAAUUCAAACGGGGAGAAUAAAAAAAAAUAAGAAAAAUAAAUAAGAAGCAAAAAUAAUAGAAAAUAAAACGAAAAAGAAAGCAAAAAAUCCGACUUUGUUUUAAUAUAGACAUCAGUAGAUUUCAUGGAGGACUGUCUACAUGGGAAGGACUAUGGCAGACACCACAACAUCCACCCGGGGUGGUGGUGGUGGUGGUGCAAUGGUUCGGGUGGUGGCGUUAAGGUAAUAGAGUCAGAGGAGAAAACAGAUCUGAUGUUGCAAGGUGUGGUGGAGGCGGUGGUGGAAGAUAAAACAAAACAAAAAGAAACUAAAUCAGCAAAAAGACUAGUAGUAGUGGUGGUGGUAGUGGUAGUUGUAGAGGCGGUGGUGGUAGUAGUAGUAGUAGAGGUGGUGGUCGUGGUAGUAGUUGUAGAGGUGGUGGUGGUGGUAGUAGUUGUAGAGGUGGUGGGUAGUAGUAGUUGUAGUGGUGGUGGUGGUAGUGGUGGUGGUGGUAGUAGUUGUAGAGGUGGUGGUAGUAGUGGUGGUGGUGGUAGUAGUUGUAGAGGUGGUGGUAGUAGUAGUAGUGGUGGUGGUGGUAGUAGUUGUAGAGGUGGUGGUGGUAGUAGUAGUAGUAGAGGUGGUGGUAGUAGUGGUGGUGGUGGUAGUAGUUGUAGAGGUGGUGGUAGUAGUAGUGGUGGUGGUGGUAGUAGUUGUAGAGGUGGUGGUAGUAGUGGUGGUGGUGGUAGUAGUUGUAGAGGUGGUGGUAGUAGUGGUGGUGGUGGUAGUAGUUGUAGUAGAGGUGGUGGUAGUAGUAGUAGUGGUGGUGGUGGUAGUAGUUGUAGUAGAGGUGAUGGUAGUAGUAGUAGUGGUGGUGGUGGUAGUAGUAGUAGUAGAGGUGAUGGUAGUAGUAGUAGUGGUGGUGGUGGUAGUAGUAGUAGUAGCAGCAGUAUUAGUAGUGGUGGUGGUAAUAGCAGCAGUAAUGGUAGUAGUAGUACUAUAGUAGUAGUAGUAGUAGUAAUAGAAGCAGUAAUGGUAGUAGUAGUGGUGGUGGUGGUAGUGGUGGUGGUGAUGGCAUCAGCAGCCGUAGUUAUGAUUGUAGCGAAAGUUCUUGAGAGAGAAAGAGAUUUACCAUUUUGCAGGACAUCAAUUCUCUUUUCUUCACCAGCAAAUGUAUGCCAUGAGACAGAGUGUGUGUGUGUGUGUGUGUGUGUGCAAAUAUAUGUGUGUGUGUGUGUGUGAAUAUAUAUAUGUAUGCAUGUGUGUGAAUAUGUGUGAGUGUGUGUGUGUGUGUGUGUGAAUAUAUGUUAUAUAUAUAUGUGUGUAUGUGAGAAAAAAAAAAUAUAU
rnacentral:lncRNA from 1 species